GACGAACGCUGGCGGCGUGCUUGACACAUGCAAGUCGAACGGAAAGGCCUGCUUUCCCUUGUGGAUUGCGGGUACUCGAGUGGCGAACGGGUGAGUAACACGUGAGUGAUCUGCCCCCAACUUGGGUAUAAGCCUGGGAAACUGGGUCUAAUUCCCGAUAGGACUGCAGGGUGGUGCCUGUGGUGGAAAACGAUUUUCUAGUGGUUGGGGAUGAGCUCGCGGCCUAUCAGCUUGUUGGUGGGGUAAUGGCCUACCAAGGCGGCGACGGGUAGCCGGCCUGGGAGGGUGGACGGCAACAUUGGGACUGAGAUACGGCCCAGACUCCUACGGGAGGCAGGAGUGGGGAAGAUUGCGCAAUGGGCGGAAGCCUGAUGCAGCGACGCCGCGUGGGGGAUGACGGCCUUGGGGUUGUAAACUCCUUUCGACCGCGAGGGAGCCACCUGGUUGGAAGGGUGGUGACGGUAGUGGUAGAAGAAGCACCGGCUAACUACGUG
rnacentral:rRNA from 1 species